rnacentral:tRNA from 1 species
GGUCCAGUGGUGUAGUGGUUAUCACGUCUGCUUUACACGCAGAAGGCCGACGGUUCGAAUCCGUCUUGGAUCA